UUUCAGGCGAUGAAGAAGAAGAGUAUUCUAUUUUGACACAAAAAGAGAGCCGGUGGAUGGUGCGAACCGGUGUGAUCGGAUAGAAGAAUGGGCUUCUGAGCUUCCAAACCGAACCAAAAUUUCGCAGUAGGCUUUGGCGAUAUUGUCUUGUCGUUAUCUGAGACAGUUUAAGUUUAUAAUACUUAAACGCUAAAGUGAGCUGUUACAGCUAAUAAAGGUGGUACCGCGGUCCCUCGUCCUUUAC
rnacentral:ncRNA from 1 species